rnacentral:rRNA from 1 species
CCUACGGGAGGCAGCAGUGGGGGAUAUUGCACAAUGGGGGGAACCCUGAUGCAGCGAAGCCGCGUGGGUGAAGAAGCGCCUAGGCGCGUAAAGCCCUGUCAGCAGGGAAGAAAAUGACGGUACCUGAAGACGAAGCCCCGGCUAACUACGUGCCAGCAGCCGCGGUAAUAAGGAGGGGGAAAGCGUGAUCCGGAUUUACUGGGUGUAAAGGGGGCGAAGACGGCGAUGCAAGCCAGGAGUGAAAGCCCGGGGCCCAACCCCGGGACUGCUCUUGGAACUGCGUGGCUGGAGUGCAGGAGGGGCAGGCGGAAUUCCUGGUGUAGCGGUGACAUGCGUAGAUAUCAGGAGGAACACCGGUGGCGAAGGCGGCCUGCUGGACUGCAACUGACGUUGAGGCCCGAAAGCGUGGGGAGCAAACAGGAGUAGAUACCCUAGUAGUC